UAGCCGAGAAGCCCAUUUCUCCCACCUCUGCCCUGCAGCUGCACAGGCUGAGCCUGGAGAGCAGCCCAGAUGCCCCUGACCACACUUCGGAAACAUCACACUCGCCCCUCUAUGCCGACCCCUACACACCACCUGCCACCUCCCAUCGCAGGGUCACAGAUGUCCGGGGCCUGGAGGAGUUCCUCAGUGCCAUGCAGAGUGCACCUGGACCCAUGCCCUCGAGCCCACUCCCCUCGGUGCCUGUGUCUGUGCCUGCCUCUGACCCUCGCUCCUGCUCCUCCGGCCCCGCUGGCCCCUACUUGCUCUCCAAGAAGGGAGCCCUGCAGUCCAGAGCCACUCAGAGACACCGGGGCUCAGCCAAGGAUGGGGGGCCGCAGCCCCCAGACUCCCCUCAGCUUGUCUCCUCUGCCAGGGAAGGUUCGCCCG
rnacentral:lncRNA from 1 species